GACGAAGGUGGCAAGCGUUGUUCGGAAUCACUGGGCAUAAAGAGCGCGCAGGCGGUCGUUCAAGUCGCGUGUGAAAGCCCCCGGCUCAACUGGGGAGGGUCACGCGAUACUGAUCGACUCGAAGGCAGGAGAGGGAAGUGGAAUUCCCGGUGUAGUGGUGAAAUGCGUAGAUAUCGGGAGGAACACCAGUGGCGAAGGCGACUUCCUGGCCUGUUCUUGACGCUGAGGCGCGAAAGCUAGGGGAGCAAACGGG
rnacentral:rRNA from 1 species